rnacentral:rRNA from 1 species
CCUACGGGCGGCAGCAGUGAGGAAUAUUGGUCAAUGGGCGAGAGCCUGAACCAGCCAAGUCGCGUGAAGGAUGACGGCCCUACGGGUUGUAAACUUCUUUUGUCAGGGAGCAAUUGGGUCCACGCGUGGGCUUAGCGAGAGUACCUGAAGAAAAAGCAUCGGCUAACUCCGUGCCAGCAGCCGCGGUAAUACGGAGGAUGCGAGCGUUAUCCGGAUUUAUGGGGUUUAAAGGGUGCGUAGGCGGAAUAUCAAGUCAGCGGUAAAAAUUCGGGGCUAAACCCCGUGGUGCCGUUGAAACUGAUGUUCUUGAGUGGGCGAGAAGUAUGCGGAAUGCGUGGUGUAGCGGUGAAAUGCAUAGAUAUAACGCAGAACUCCGAUUGCGAAGGCAGCAUACCGGCGCACAACUGACGCUGAAGCACGAAAGCGUGGGUAUCGAACAGGAUUAGAUACCCCUGUAGUC